rnacentral:rRNA from 1 species
UACGUAGGGUCCAAGCGUUAUCCGGAAUCACUGGGCGUAAAGCGUGCGUAGGUGGCGUGUUAAGUGUGAUGUUAAAUCGUGUGGCUCACCAUAUCGAUGUGUCGCAUAUGGCAUGCUAGAGGGAAGCAGAGGCAAGUGGAAUUUGUAAGUGUAGCAGUGAAAUGCGUAGAUAUUACAAGGGAACACCAAUGGCGAAGGCAGCUUGCUGGGCUUCUUCUGACA